rnacentral:rRNA from 1 species
UACGUAGGGGGCAAGCGUUGUCCGGAUUUACUGGGCGUAAAGAGCGUGUAGGCGGCCACGCAGGUCCGUUGUGAAAACUGGAGGCUCAACCUCCAGCUGUCGACGGAAACCGUAUGGCUAGAGUCCGGAAGAGGAGAGUGGAAUUCCCGGUGUAGCGGUGAAAUGCGCAGAUAUCGGGAGGAACACCAAUUGCGAAGGCAGCUCGCUGGGACGUAACUGACGCUGAGACGCGAAAGCGUGGGGAGCAAACAGGG